rnacentral:lncRNA from 1 species
AAAUUGAAAGCAUUAGCAAUAUACUAACUUUCUUUUGGAUUUUUUUGUAGAAGAAUUAUGUUGAUUAAAUCUUUUCUGACAGUCAACUUAUUUCCAGUGGUUUCUAUUUCUUCAUGUAUUAUUUGCAUAUACAGCAAAACAAUUAGCAGCGACGUCUAUGGAUAUAAAGAAGUUGCUGGAUAUCUAGUAGGUGAAAAAUACAUUGUCACAUGAAGACCUAAUUUGUGAACCCCGCCAUAAAAUUAUUGACAACAAAACUAAAUUAUGCCUCUAUGAAAAUUGUUGGACAUCAGGCGUCCAUUUCAAGAAAAUGUCACUUUCUGUAAUCUAUUGUGGAUGAUUUGCGUAGAGAUUGAUAAGUAGGGGCAUGCUGUCUUGCAACAGACAGAGAAGUCAUUCUAUCACUCAUAAAUUUAUGUAGCAAUUGAAAGAGAAAAUCAUGUGCUAUUGUCUAAUGCCUCCUCACUACUUGAUGUACAAAUUGAUGAACUGUUCAACAUUUUCUAUAUUUCUAUAUAAAUACACAACGGGGCAUUAGUAAAAUUCAUCACAAACGCAAUCAUCUAAAGUCUUCAUUAUCAAGUUCUUUUCUUUCUCCAUAUUCUCUAAACAAUCUAGGAGUAUUAUGGGUAUUCGUAUGCCUCGUGUUACUAAUCUCAAGAAAAUCCUUAACCAGUCAUCAUUCUUGUUAAGUCCCGAUUAUACUUCAACAGUUCCAAAGGGAUGCUUGGCAGUAUAUAUUGGGGAGAAGCAAAGAAGAAGAUUUGUGGUUCCCAUUUCAUGCCUGAAUGAUCCUGCCUUCCAAGAUCUGUUAAAUCAAGCUGAUGAAGAAUUUGGGUUCAGCCAACCAGAAGGCGGCCUCACUAUUCCCUGCUCAGUGGACACAUUCAUUCACCUUACUUCACGCCUAGAUAGAUUAUAGUGAGAAAACAUUUGUGUACUGGUAGAUAGUACAGCAUUGAAAUGUACAUAGUAGAAUAGGGAUUUUUAUCAGAUUUUUGUUGGCAACGCAUAAUUUGAAACUCACCACUUUGUCCGAUCUAAAAUUACCAUAGUAGAUAGAUUAUAGCUUAUUCUUAUAAAUCUAGAUCAAUAUAUAGAACGCCUGACAGAAAAAAGAGAUCAAAAUAUAGAACGAAAAAGUUUGAUACUCAAAUCAGUAACUUUUGCAUGUGACCUAAAGCUAAUUCUCUGAAGGCAGGGACUUUUAAAUAUCUUAAACUUAUCUACCCAGAACCUAUAUAUGAUGUUCUUGAUAAAAACAGCAAAUUUCAGAUGCAAUGAUUGUUGAAUGCAGACAGGUUUACAUAUAGUCCCUAGAUACUAAAAUGAAAAAAAAAAAAGGAAUGAAACAUCCAUCCAACAAAAAACCAGCACAGUGAAAUUGGAGGGUUGAGUCUGUCAACUAUUAGAGUGAAAUUAUAUAAACUUGUUCUUCACAUCCAUCCAAAGAGAUCUCGGUAAUUCCAGGAUAGCAAUAUGUAUGAAUAAAUAGAUAUUAAUUAACUAAGCAAAAGAAAUUCUUCACUGGUAUCUAAAAAUCAUAUUUCUGUGUAAUGAGAUGGUUACUCUAAUUUUCCCUAGGUUAUCAAAUGAGGGGGAUUGACUAGUAUACAUUAUAAACUAGAACCAUGCAAAACUGUUAGUACCAGAUAAUAGCUAUUUGUUUCUUAUAUCUGUGCAAGACUAAAGUGCGGUUAAUGAAUGUCUUCUCUACAUGGAAAAGCCACUUCAGACUAUAAAGACAUGGAAUGUAUAAAGCUGCUUAUCUAUAUUUCAAAUAAUAAGUACUUAUAAAGAUAUAUAAUGACUUCAUACUGAUUGCAGAGAUCAAAUCCAUGUAGAAAUUAAUGUAAUCAAAUUACAAAGUAUCAGUUAAUGCUCUACCAAAAAGAUCUAUAUGAGAGUCAUAUAUAAAAUUUCUGGACUAGUCUACAAAAUUGUACACUAUCUAACAAAAUAUAUAUAAACUCUCAUAAUCUGUUCAAGAGAUCAAUGAAGGUGUCUUCUUUGCAUGGUAUUGUGAGGCCACGUUCUGGAUGACUGAACCCAAAUUCUUCCUCAGCUUGACUUAACAGGUCUUGGAACGUAGGCUCAUUUAAGUAAGAGAUCGGAACGACAAAUCUUCUUCUUUGGUUCUCCCCGACAUAAACUGCUAUACAUCCCUUGGGGACAUUUGUACUGCGAUCAAGAUUUUUUAAGGAAAAUUGUCUGUUGAGAAUUUGCUUGAGAUUAGUGAUAUGAGGCACACGAAUACCCAUGAUGCUCAAGAAAAAUUGAAACUUCAACGGAUAUGGAGAAACCAAGAACUUCUGCAGAUGGUAGGCUUAGACCCUUAAUUACACUUGAUUUUGAGAUGAAUUUGGUUGAGGAGAUCACAGUUUUUAUAUCGAAAUAACAAGUAAUGAGCGGUUGAUGAAAAUGUAGAUUGAGUGGAACAGAUGCAUUAGGCAAUAGCACAUGCUAUUCUCUUUAAAAGGCCACACAUAUUUAAGAGUAAUGCUAGGACUUGAAUCUCUACUGAGAGACAUCAUGUCCUACAAAUAUGGACCUGAUAUACGACAGAAUAUAACGUAAUAUAUACGGAUAUGAACAACGUACAAUUAAUUUGGCUGGAAAGUCCCCACUUUGCCUGGCAAGCAAGGUAUUUGUGGUCAGUAGUUAGGUGCUCAUGUGAUAGUGUUUUCAUUCACCUAUCCUAGAUGUGAAUUUUGUGUAGUAGGAAACACCUGAUACAAGUUGUUAUAUCCAUGAAAGGAAGGGCAAAUUUAUUGAAGAAACAGAUUAAUGGACUGUUAGGAUUUUGUGUGGUAGGAAACACCUCAUAUAAGUUUUCAUAUAUUUAUAUUCACAAAACAAAUAGUAAAUCAGAAUGGGACAGGUAGAUUGUUAAAAUACAACCCUUAAUAUAACUCGGUCUUCUUGGCAUGCUUAAAAAUAAAUCCGCUCACCCCAAAACCGAUAAUAUCCGGUAUGAGUUAAAAGAAAUAAAUUAAAUUCUGGAAAAGAAGAACUAAGUUCCGAGAAAAAAGAAGGUAAAGACUCCUCCGAAGACCAGAAAUAUAUAAGAACACGGUCAAACUUUUAAUGUGACAUUAAAAAUUAAGACUAGCACAAAAGCCCCUGCGAGGCAAAGUUUAAAUGUGAAAUUAGAAACUAAGACCAGCACAAAAACCCCUACGAGGCACAUGCUUUUAAUUUAAAUCAUGUUUCUAAUUGAUUGUUUAUUAUAUUUAUAGAAUUUAAAUUUUAAUGUAUUUGUUUGUUUUUAAAUUUUAAAUUGAACUUUUUGAUACCUCUGUGUAUUCUACUGUAAUUGAUACUCGAUUUAUUGUUAGCAAUUCAAUAUUAGCAAGAUAUAUUAAUUAAAAUUAUCCUCAUUGACACAGUUUCUGUUUAAUAAAACUCUUAAAACAUUUGUAACAUACUAAACCAACAAAACAGACCUCUAGCAAAGGUUGAUAGUAUAGUCAUCAGCAUGCUCAAAACAUGUAAAAGUUUACAUGAAAGUCUCAGUCAGAAUUAAUAUUCCUAGACUAGUUCACAGAGUUUGUACACUAUCUAACAAAAUUUAACUAUGUCAUAUCUGCAGACAUAUAAACUUUCAUAAUCUGUUUAAGACAUCAAUGAAAGUGUCUUCUUUGCAUGGAAUUGUGAGGCCACCUUCCGGAUGAGUAAACCCAAAUUCUUCCUCAGCUUGACUUAACAGGUCUUGGAAUGUAGGCUCAUUUAAGUAGGAGACCGGAACCACAAAUCUUCUUCUUUGGUUCUCCCCAACAUAAACUGCCAUGCAUCCCUUGGGGACAUAUGUACUCCCAUCAAGAUUUGUAGAGGAAAAUUGCCGGUUGAGAAUUUGCUUGAGAUUAGUGACACGAGGCAUGCGGAUACCCAUGAUGCUAAUGAAAAAUUAAAGUUUUCAGAGUAAACUUUGGGGAUAUGCAAUUACAAGGACCUCUGCAGAUUGAAGCUUCGACACUAGAAUACACUCAAUUCUGAAAUGACUUUGCUAAGUUUCCAACAGUGUUUAUAUAGAACGGACAGAAUGUAUUGAGCUGUUGAUCAAAUUGCAGAUUGAGUGACACAGAUGCAUUAGGCAUUAGCACAUGCUAUGCCUAAGGGUACGUAGGACUCUUAUGUCUGUGAGUGACAUCUUGUCCUACUACUUAAUUGUGUUGAACAAUUCUUAACCUGAUUGUUUCUUAUCUAUAACAGAGUUUAUACUAAGGUCAUCGACAUACAUAUAAUGGCUAGAAACUGUCAAGUUCGAUAGGCAAGAAAUCAAAUCUCAUGCUUUUAUUGGUCAUAUAUAGCUGUAGGUGGGACAGGCAAGUUUCAUGCUCAUGUGAUGGUGUUCUCUUGACCCACAUAAGUCAUGCUGCAUUAUGUGAAAAUAUCACUUGGAGCUGGAAGAAGCAGUGUCACAUGAACACUUAUUAUUUCAACCCCACCAUAAUCAGUGCAGACAAACCCAAUACAUAAAAUCCUUUGGAGGAGUCUUUAGCUAUAUACUAGUGAUUUUGUGUGCUCCAUGUUAAAUCUGCAGUGCUUUUAUGCCUUUUCUUUAAUUUUUAUUUUACUUAUACACAUAUAACUGUAGGACAUCAACAAACGUAUUCCAGGCCAAGAUUACAUAUUGAGUCGUGAUUUAUUACUAGGACAUUAUGUCUCCCAACACAUAAGAUGUCCGCUUAUCAGCCAUUAAUACAUGUAGCUAGUGAAAGAGAAAAUCAUGUGCUAGUGUCUAAUGCCUACCCACUGCUCAAUGUACAACUUGAUGAGAUGUUCUAUUCAAAUUGUUGAUUGUUCUAUAUAAACACAUAAUUAAGCGAUACUAACAUUCAUCAUAAACACACUGGUCCAAAGUCUUUUCCUUAAAACUAUACAAGUCCUAGUGUUUCUUCAGUUUCCUGAACUCUUCUCUGAAAGAUCUAUAGUGUCAUGGGUAUCCGUAUGCCUCGUAUUACUAGUCUCAAACAAAUUCUUAACCGCUCAUCUUUCUUAUUAAAUCCUGAUCUAUCUUCAACAAUUCCAAAGGGGUGCUUGGCAGUUUAUAUUGGGGAGAGGCAAAGAAGCCGAUUUGUGGUACCCAUUUCAUACCAGAAUGAGCCUGCCUUUCAAGAUUUGUUAAGUCAAGCCGAGGAAGAAUUUGGAUUCAAUCAUCCGGAAGGAGGGCUUACCAUUCCUUGCUCAGUGGACACAUUCAAUGAAAUCACUUCGCGCCUGAACAAUCUAUAUACUUGUAGAUAGUAUAGCACCUCCGAUCUCAUUUAUUGAGUUUCUGAGUGUAAACUGUAGAACAUACAGAUUUUGUAGGGGAAGCAUAAUUUGAUACUCAAACUUUUUGAACAUAUUGACCAUCACUUAUGCUCAUGUUUACUUGUUAUUUUCUAUAAAGCAUAUCACCAAGUGUUUGACGAUAAACUUUAUGCCUAAACCAAAUCACCAACAAAUUUACAGGUUCUGUAGUUACUCUUUCAUACCUGAAUCUUGCAAUCGUCUUGAAAAAUCAGCACUGACACAGGGUUGCUAGCUCAAAAAUCAAAAUUAAAAUUUAUGAACAGUUCUAACUAAUUAAUAAAUAUAUGUCUUGCAUAGUCAGUGGAGAAACCAGAACUAAAAUCUUGGGGUGGCUCAAAUAUUUAAUUAUAUUCCUAAGCACUUUUAUUACUGAUGGUCACAUCAAAAAGAGAUUAAAUAUUUUUAUAUGAUGUGACCCCCGCCGUGUAUCUCCCGCUCGAGUUAAACAAGUUUCUCUAUUCUUCUUUUUUUCCAGAAAAUAUCUCACCACUUUCGAAACAUUUCAGUGUAAGUUCAUAAUGUCUUUGUCGAAACAUAUCCAUUCUCUUACACGAAUCAUCAACAAAUUCACAAUACGACAAAGAUGACCAGAAAAAUCACUUACUACAUGAGAACAUUUAGCCAUAGCAACAACUAAUAACUGCAAUUUCAUGACUCUAAUGGUGAUUUAAAGUAAUGCAAUAUGAUGACUCUCCUGGUAGUUUAAUGUAAUUCGAGAGUACCAAAUUAGACUACCACAAUUCAAUAAUUCAGAAUUAACGAAGAAGUCUCUAAAUUAUCAUUCUAAUUAGUAAGGACUUCCCAGAUCAAUUUCAGGAUCAAACGACGACAUAUGUGUUAGAGAGAACCUUUUAAACUCUAUUUCUCGGGCAUCCCCCAAUUAACAAUUUCAUUAUACAAAAUCAUAAAAGAUACAAAAAUAUUAAAGACUAACAAUUUAUCCAAGAAUCAAGAAGGUCAAUCACAAAACGUGAUAAAAAUAAAAGGAUAAUCAAUCAAUUUAUCAUACCUUGAAAUUUAAAAAGCAAGUGAGAAGUCAGAGUAUUGAGUAAACACGAAAACACUGAGUGAAUCUAGAGAGGGAAAUAGAAGGAUAACGUCGGGUGUACUUUAUUCGACAUUUUAAAAAAUUAUGUUGACAUCUGUAAUUUAGCAGAGGCUAAAAAAAAAAUAUCCACCGUUUUUUGAGGUCAUGGGUAGCUUUAGCAUCCCCUAGCCCUCUCUGGUUGUGCCACUGUGCAUAGUUUAAUUUAUAUAAGUCAUUUAUUAUCAUGAAUACUCCUUUUGCUCUUGAGCCUACGAGAUAUUAACGAUGCGCAUAUCAACCUAUGCAGUAUUGUAGCUAACAUGUUAAGUAUCGCGUCUGGGAGUACUUUCGCAAGAAUGAAACCUUUUGUCAUUGAACUUCCCAAUCAAAAUUAUCGUAAGACCUUGUGAUGAUCAACCUUUUGAGGAUCCAAUUGUAUUCCGGCUUCCCAAUAAAUUAAGUUAAAAUUUUGUAAUUUCACUACAAAGUUUUCCAAUCUAAUAAAAAUUAAAAUAAAUACCUAAUAUACAAAUUUUAUAAGAAGUUAAUCGAAACUGCCCUAACAAUUUCACAUUCUAUCUCAGGGACUGGGAAAGUAAAUUUUAGAGGUUAACAGACUAAGAUUGGUAUUGUUAACCAUACAGGAAAAAUAAAAUUUGCGAACUAAACGUAUAUAUUUGAGAUGAGAACCAAUAUACAAAAAAAUCUACAAGAAAGAAUAAUUUCGUGUAUUAAUUGAUGCCUAAAAGAUUCACAUUGUAAGUCUCACUAUAUAACAUAUCUGGACAAGUAUGAUAGACGUACAAUUAUUGACAAUAUCAGAAGUGCCAUGUAUAAUGCUAAAACAAAGAGACAUGCCCAAGUUAGAUUUAAGUAUAUAAGGGGUUUAUUGUUUGAUCGGAAUAUAGUUAUGAGUUUAUUGGAACUCAAGAUAAUAUAGCUACUCCAUGAGCAUGUUGUUAUUCUUAAGUCGAGGUUUUGGUUGGGACUGAUAACUCAUCAUGAUUCAUCUGCAACGGGAACCGAAUACAUCUUAGAGGAGAUCCUCCAAGUGUAUUUAAUAGAGUAAUAAAAAGCUAUAAGGGUGGUGACAACUGCAAGUAUAACAAGAGUUUUUAGAACUCUGAACGGGGUCAUGUUAUUAGACAAAAUCUCUGAAGAUGCCCAUCUAAGCGAAUGUAAUUGUGAGGUCGCAAUUAGAUGAAAGGGUUAUUCCUUGAAGCAUUCGACGAACAUAAUCGAGACACGACCAUUAAUGUCUCAAAACCGUAGAUUAGCACCAUAACCUUUGACUUGUCAUCGUCUAUGGAGCGUGGUUACACCCAACGAAUAGAUAUUCAAGGUGAAACAAUCCAUCUAUAUCUGAAAGCCACCGAAGUAGGAGAUUUAUGAGGGUUCUAACCCGGAAGGAUACCAAUUUUGAAAGCCAGGCAUGAUGAAGACUGAUAUGCAAUUUUGUGUGGAUAUAUGGGGAUUGUUGAAAAAUGGAAAGUUUGAGGCAUUUUUUAAAUAUGUUUUUGAUGUAAUUUCUGGAAACUAAUAGUUGGUGGCUGUCCCUUGCUAACAGGACUUAAACUUUCAUGUUUGGAUCUAAGACAUUUUCUUAGUGUAAUCCAUAAAUAAAUUGAGUUGAAAUGGCUAGCUUGAAGUGGGUCAUGUGGUUGCCUGAAUUGUAGCAACUUGAAUACCAUAUUGAUUUGAUAAUGAAAGUUUGGUGGUUUUAUAGUACAUCACAUGCAAGCGUAGUGCACUAACUACUAAGGUGUGAAGCCGUAGGUGUGCCAUUGCUUCAUGCGGAGCUCCCACGCGCGGCGCGCAUGUGUGCCCUUCACCGUCUCGCAGUUUUGUGUGCUCCCACACGCGCGUGCCUUCACCAUCUCCGUGUGGAACUUAGUAGAUAAAGAAGAUUUUUCUUGAUUAUAAGCAGUCAAAAAUCUCCAUUAAUAUGUAAGAGCAGUGGCGGUGGCACGUGGGGGCCCGGGGGGACACGUGCCCCCGUAGAGUUUUCUAAAAAAAAAAAAAAAAAAUUUUUUUUUUUUGUAGGACCCACUUACUUUACCAAGUUGUAUACUCCUGUACAUACUUUUCACAGCUGAUCACAUAUAAUCCCUAGAGCUUCUUCGGCUCCUUUUACACAAACCACAACCCAAAAGCCAAAAUCAAACGAUAACACCUGCAUCAUCACUUAUCCGGGCAAGGGGGUGAUUCCUUUUCAUAUUUCUUCAACAAUUCCUUUAUCAGGUAAUUUCUCUUCUCUGCAUCAUCAUUAAUUUUCUUUGUAUUCUUGUAGUUGUAUAUAUGUUGAGUUUUAAGUGUUGUAAGACUAAAGAGUGAUGGAUUGUUGUUUAUAUAUUUGGAUUGUGAAUUGUGAUUAAAUAGUGAAUUAGCGAUGAUCUUCUUGUAUUAAAAUUUACUGUGUAGUUAUAGUUCUCAUUCUGGGCUUCUAGGAUAUUUUUCAAGAAUAGUCAGUAGAUAUCUUAGAAUUUUAAAAUCUCUUGUAAUUAUUUGGUCAUGCUUCUAUUAAACAGAAAUGGAGAGAUUUUAUAAAAGGAAGUCAGAAGCGGAAGCUGUUGUGCCGCCUGUGCCAGUGCCACCAACCGUAGUAGCUGAAAAUUCUCAAAAUAUUAUAAGAGAUGAAAGCAGAGUGAUCAAUUUAGCGACACUUGAGUCUGAUCCAGGGCUGAGGAUUCCAAUUGAAAAUUAUAAUGUUAAUAUACAAGAUGAAGUCAGGAGAAGAUACAUGCUUCAAGGUCCUUGCCAACCGGACAAUCAUAUAUUUCCAUUGACAAAGUUUGGACAAAAAUGCAGAAGAUUCAACCCAAAAUGGUUUAAAGAAUUUUCAAAUUGGUUGGAGAAUUCUAUAAUUGAUAUGCAACUCCAAGAAUUAAAUAGUCGUUUUGAUGAGGUGAAUACUACAUUACUUCUCUGCAUUUCUUGUUUGUGCCCGGAUGAUUUGUUUGUUGCUUUUGAUAAACAAAAGUUAAUUCAACUUGGUGGGUGUUAUCCUGAAGACUUUUCUCCGAUUGAACUCCUGGCCCUUGAUGACCAACUUCAGAAUUAUAUAACCGAUAUGCUGUCAAGUAUUGAAUUUUCUGAUUUGAAAGGGAUUACCGCUCUUGCCAAAAAAAUGGUUGAACUAGGAAGGGACAAAGUGUAUCCUCUGGUAUACAAGUUACUAACAUUGUCUUUGAUCUUGCCAGUGGCAACAGCAAGCGUGGAAAGAGUAUUUUCAGGAAUGCAUCUUGUUAAGACAAAGCUGCGAAAUCGCAUUGGAGAUCAGUGGUUAAAUGAUAGUUUAGUUAUAUAUAUCGAAAGGGAAAUUUUUGAUUGCGUUGACAAUGAACUGAUCAUGCAGCGAUUCCAAAACAUGAAAACUCGUCGUGGAAACUUGUAAUAUUAUCACAUGAACUUGUAAAUAUUUUUGCUAUAUAUUUAUAUAUUUUAUUUUGUUGCUGGAAAUUUAUAUGGUGCCCCCACUCGCUAAAAGUCCUGGCUCCGCCACUGUGUGUGAGGCAACACGAUGUAGCGUUCUUAUGUUUUUACAUGGGCUUGGGUUCUUAUGUUUUUACAUGGGCUUGGGAUUGAAACGCUAUAUAACGUAAUGUUAAAAUAUUAUCAGCAAUAGCCCUAUAUUCUGGUUCUGGAGUUGAUCUGAAGACUGCAGGCUGUAUCUUAGAUUUUAGAAAUCUAGGAGAUGUUCUGAUUACAAUGAGACAGCAGAUUUUCUUGUGUCUUGGCAACCUGCUCUGCAUGUAGUGACAUAUGAUUUUCUUGUGAAAAACAAAUGGAACGAAACGUGAAGCUUAUCAGUGGCUUACAUGAAGACUACAAAAAAACCCUGCACAACUGAAAUUGGAGGGUUGAGCCUAUCACUGAUCUCUAAAAAACAUAUUUCUGUGUAAUGAGAUGGUUACUUUAAUCUUCCCAAGGUUACAAAAUGGAAGUGGAUUGACUACUAUACAUUACAAACUAGAACCUUGCAAAUUGUUAGUACCAUGCAUAUAAUAGCUAUUUCAAAUAAAAAGUACUUAUGAAGAUAUAAAAUGACUACAUAAUGAUUGCAGAGAUCAAAUCCUUGUAGAAAUUAAUGUAAUCAAAUUACAAAGUAUCAGCUAAUGCUCUACCUAAAAGAUGUAUAUGAGAGUCGUAUAUAAAAUUUCUGGACUAGUUACAAAAUUUGUGUACACUAUCUAACAAAAUAUAUAUAAACCCUCAUAAUCUGUUCAACAGAUCAAUGAAGGUGUCUUCUUUGCAUGGUAUUGUUAGGCCACCUUCUGGAUGAGUAAACCCAAAUUCUUCCUCAGCUUGACUUAACAGGUCUUGAAACGUAGGCUCAUUCAAGUAAGAGAUCGGAACUACAAAUCUUCUUCUUUGGUUCUCCCCAACAUACACUGCAAUACAUCCCUUGGGGACAUUUGUACUGCGAUCAAGAUUUCUUAAGGAAAAUUGUCUGUUGAGAAUUUGCUUGAGAUUAGUGACAUGAGGCACACGAAUACCCAUGAUGCUCAAGAAAAAUUGAAACUUCAACAAAUAUGGAGAAUACAAGAACUUGAUUUUGAGAUGAAUUUGGUUGAGGAGAUCACAGUUUUUAUAUAGAAAUAACAAGUAAUGAGUGGUUGAUGAAGAUGCAGAUUGAGUGGCACAGAUGCAUUGGGCAUUAGCACAUGCUAUUCUCUUUCAAAGGCCACACAAAAUUAAGAGUAAUGCUAGUGCUAGGACAUGAAUGUCUGUUGAGAGACAUCAUGUCCUACUGUUUCGGUUCAACAAAUCUGGACCUGAUAUUUUCUCAUUUAAAUUUACGUUUUAUGCUGAUACAUGCUUCAGACAAGGAUUAGAAGGUUGAUUUUAUGUUUGAUUAUGUUAAAAUUGAAAUAACUGGACACCUAAAUAUUAAAGGCAGAGCUAUCAGACAACUAAGAAAUUUGAUUAUCCUUGGUAAUUGUAGGGCAAGUUGUGUCUUGGUAAGCAGAGACAUAUAUCCCAAACUCCUCCAACCUUGCUAUUGAUUCUGUAUUUGUAGGACAUCACCAUGUGCUAGUGACUUAUUAUUUCAUUGUCAGUGUUCAAGAAGCCUUCUAUAUAAACAUAGGGAUUUUGACAUAAAUCAACACAAGCUUAGUAGCAAACCUUUAUUUCUUUCAUCCAGCAUCCUCUAGUCCUUUCCCUCUCGACAUCCAUUCUAAGAACACUAACUUAGAAUCAUGGGUAUCCGCAUGCCUCAUAUUCCUCAUGUCAAGAAAAUCUUUCAGGGGUCUUCUUUUGCAGCUACAGCAGUUUCAGACGUCCCAAAGGGCUGCUUGGCAGUUUAAGUUGGGGAUAGCCAGAGAAAAAGAUUUGUUGUUCCAAUUUCAUACUUGGCUGAGCCUGCCUUCCAGGACUUGCUAUGUCAAGCUGAGGAAGAAUUUGGUUUUGAUCAUCCAGAUGGGGGUCUUACAAUUCCCUGCAGAGAAGAUGUGUUUACAGACCUCGCCUCAAGCUUGAGAAGAAAAUAAUAGAGAACAACCUGAUCAAAAUAAGUAGUUUAGAAAUUUUUUGUAAGCUAGUAGGAGAUAAGUUAGAAAAGGUUGGACCAUAGGCAUUUAUGCAAAAGCUUUCUUCCUGUAUCUCAUGGAAUCAUUUUCAAUGAGGAAGAUCGUCACUCAGAAUUUUGUAUAAUAUGAAACUAUAUACAUCCCGAUUAUAUUUUUAAGAUCUAAUUAUGUUGUUUGCAAAUAACUUCCUAUCUGUAAUCAGUUCCACGUUAUUCUGAAAUUGAUCGAAAUUGGCAUAGAAUAGUGUUUUAACAGAUAAAUCUAUUCAAAAUUGAUAUGGGAGAAAGCAGCCCCUUAUUUUAUAUUCCUAUAUUUCAGAAAGAAUUAGUCAUAACCUAUCUACAGUUGCUCUGUGAUCAUAUUUACUGUGAGCCCGAAAUUCAUCAAGAUUCCACCUGCAGAAGAUACUUGGCAAGGUAUACCAAUGCUUCAAGUUAUGAUUCUGCUUGCUUCAAGUUAAAUUUGCAGCACAUACAUUAUUUCAUUUUUAUGCUAUAUAUUGAUCACCUAUACAAAAAAUGUGCUACAUUAUGCGUUCCACAAAUGUAUACCUGAUCAAGACUUGAUAUGAAAUUACAAAUUCAAAUGGGAACUUUAAGUUGAUAUUUUCCCCUAUAUUUCUGUGUUACUGAUCUGUCUAUAUCAACUAAUCUUUCUUGGUAAAUUUUGAUUAUAUAAAACCGUUUAUGUUGGGGAGAGAGAAAGGAGAAGAACUAUUGUCUAUUGAGAAGUCAUAUUUCUCAUGGACCCAGUCGAAUGCUUAUACAUAGAAGAACAGAGAAGUCAUUAAUAAUUAAACAUCAAUCAAGAAAUUACAGUAGAAAGUAGCACAUCAGUUUGUACCUGCAUUACCUUACUACUUCUGGUACUCUAAUAAUAAUUCAAAAUAUAAUAUAUUUGCUCAGACAAGGAUUAGAUGUUAUAAUUCCUGUGUGAUAAUGUUUAAAACCUCCAAAAAUAGACAACCUAUAAAUUCAAGAUUAUCAUAUAUAAUACGGCAGGUUGUGUCUUGGUAGUCAUAGACAUAUAUUCCACACUCAUACAGUCUUGCUAUUCAUCUGAUGAUUUAUUAUCACCAAUAUAUAUGCAUUAGUAGUCCUUAAUUUACUAUUUAAGAACUGCUUCAUCUGCUGUAUAAGCACGUCAUUGGGAUUUUAACAAAAACCAUUUCAAGCUUAACUGUUUACCUACAUUUGUUCGUCUAGCCAUUGGUUAGUCAUCUACCUCAUAACAUUCAUUCCAAAUAAAGCCACUUACAAUCAUGGCUAUUCUUCACCGAUCUUAUUUUGGAAGAUAUACCAUGACUGCAGCUACUGUCCGAAAUAGAUUCUUUGCAAUUUAUGCCGGGGAGAGGCAAAGAACAUAAUUUAUUGUCCCAAUUUCAUGCUUGAGUGAGCGUGCCUUUUAAGACUUGUUAAGUUAAGCUGAGGAAGAAUUCGGGUUUGAUCAUCCAGAGGGGGGUUCUUACUAUUCCCUGCAGAGAAGAUAUCUUUACAGAUCUCAAGUCAGGCUUGAGCAGAAAAUCAUGAAGACGAACAUGAUCAGAACAAGUAGUGCAGAAAAUUUUGUAAACUAGUGAAUACAUAUUAACUAUAAAUGUCAGAUUGUCUUUUGUUUAUUGAGCUUGUCUCAAUAAAUGAUAUUAGAAACAAUACGAUGUAGUUAUAUUUGUCAGAUUGUCUUCAUUAUUGAGCUUUAUUCAUGAAAUGGUAUCAAAAACAGGUUCGGCAAUAGUCAUUUAAGCAAACAAUUUUCAUGUAUUUCCAUAGCAAAAAUCAUUGCAUAAAAAGUUGUCAAUUCAUAAGCAAUUUAUAUCUCCUAGUUAUAUCCUUUGACCUGAUUAUUUAGCUUGAAAAUGCCGUCCUCAAAUAUAUCAUUUCCACAUAUUUCAGCAGUUAAAUCAACAUUUGCAUCUAAUUGUGUGUAAGAAGUAUGGUUUCCUGAAGAAAUUGAAAGCAUUAGCAUCUAAUUGCAUUAGAAAUUGAAAUCAACAUUUGCAUCUAAUUGUGUGUAAGAAACUCCUUAACCCGUCAUCUUUCUUGUUAAGUCCUAAUUAUACUUCAACAGUUCCAAUGGGUUGAUUUGUGGUUCCCAUUUCAUACCUGAAUGAUCCUGCCUUCCAAGACUUGUUAAAUCAAGCUGAGGAAGAAUUUGGGUUCAGCCAACCAGAAGGCGGCCUCACUAUUCCCUGCUCAGUGGACACAUUCAUUCACCUUACUUUACGCCUAGAUAUAUUGACAAAAAAAAAAAAUUGAUCAAUAUAUUGAACACAAAAAUUUGAUACUCAAAUCUGUAAGUUUUGCAUGUAAUGUAAAGCAAAUUAUAUGUAGGCAGGGACUUCGAAAUUGAUCAAAGAUUUAAACUGUGAAUGUUAUGUCUGGUCAGAGUUGGAAAGUUAAACUUCUCUACCCAGAACCAAUAAAUGACUUUAGGUACUAAAAUGAAAAGAAAACUAAAGGAAUGAAACAUCAAGCUUAUCAGUAGCUUACAUGAAGACUCCAUAAAAAGCUGCACAACUGAAAUUAGAGGGUUGAGUCUGUCAAUUAUUAGAGUGAUAUUGAAUAAACAUGUUCUUCACAUCCAUCCAAUGAGUUCGCGGCAAUUCCAGGAUAGCAAUAUGUAUGAAUAAAUUGAUACUAGUCAACUAAGCAAAAGAAAUUCUUCACUGAUAUCUAAUAAACAUAUUUCUGUGUAAUGAGAUGGUUACAAUAAUCUUUUCUAGGUUAUCAAAUGGAAGCGGAUUGACUAGUACACAGUACCAACUACAACCUUACAAAAUUGGUAGUACCAGAUAAUAGCUAUAUGUUAGUACAAUCUGCGCAAGACUAAACUGAGGUUAACCAAUGUCUUCUCUACAAGGAAAACCCACUCCAGACUAUAGAGAGAUGGAAAUUGCUCUUCUUUUGAACAAUUACGUUUGUGAUUGGAAGCAAUAAUGUAUAAAGCUGCUUAUCUAUAUUUCAAAUAAAACAUAAUGACUACAUAAUGAUUGCAGAGAUCAAAUCCAUUUAGAAAUUAAUGUCUCAAAUUACAAAGUAUCAGGUAAUGUUCUACCUACAAGAUUUAUUAGAAAUUCCUGGACUAGUUUACAAAAUUUUUACACUAUCUAACAACAUAUAUAUAAACUUUCAUAAUCUGUUCAAGAGAUCAAUGAAGGUGUCUUCUUUGCAUGGAAUUGUGAGGCCACCUUUUGGAUGACUAAACCCAAAUUCUUCCUCAGCCUGACUUAACAGGUCUUGGAACGUAGGCUCGUUUAAGUAAGAGAUCGGAACUACAAAUCUUCUUCUUUGGUUCUCCCCAACAUAGACUGCAACACAUCCCUUCGGGACAUUUGUUCUGUAAUCAAGAUUUUUUAAGGAAAAUUGUCUGUUGAGAAUUUGCUUGAGAUUAGUGAUAUGAGGCACACGAAUACCCAUGAUGCUCAAGAAAAAUUGAAACUUCAACGGAUAAUCUUUGGAGAUAUGGAAAAUACAAGAACUUCUGCCGAUGGAAGGCUUAGACCUUAAUUCCACUUGGUUUUGUGAUGAAUUUGGUUGAGGAUAUCACAGUUUUUAUAUAGAAAUAACAAGUAAUGAGCGGUUGAUCAAAAUGCAGAUUGAGUGGCACAGAUGGAUUAGGCAAUAGCACAUGCUAUUCUCUUUCAAAGGCCACACAUAUUUAAGAGUAAUGCUAGGACUUGAAUGUCUGCUGAGAGACAUCAUGUCCUACUGCUUCUGUUCAACAAAUCUGGACCUGAUAUUUUCUCAUGUUCUACUGAUAGUGGAGAUAAGACAGAAUAUAACGUAAUAUAUACGGAUAUGAACAAGGUACAAAUAAUUGGGUGGAAAGUCCUCACUUUGCCUGGCAAGCAAGGUAGCAAAUUUUAAGAAGUUAGUUUUUGUGGUCAGUAGUUGUGGGUGGGACGGACAAGUUAAGUGCUCAUGUGAUAGUGUUUUCAUUCACCUAUCCUAGCUGUUUAUUUUUUGUGCAGUAGGAAACACCUGAUACAAGUUGUUAUAUUCACGAAAGAAAGGGCAAAUCUUUGUAAGAAACAGAUUAUUAGGAUUUUGUGUGGUAGGAAACACCUCAUAUAAGUUCUCAUAUGUUUACAUUCACAACAGAAAGAAUAAUUUCAAGAAUAAACACUCAAAUUUUUUUAAGUACUGCAAUUCAUUUCUCAUACAAUGCUCAAGCAAGAAGUGAGUUUAAAGAAUAUGUCUACUUAACAUGGAAUAGUAAGACCACCUUCUACAUGAUCAAAUCUGAAAUCUUUUUGAGCUUGAAUAAUUAAUUCUUAAAGGGAGGUUCACUUAAAUAUGCAAUCGGAUCUACUUCUCUGGCCUCCCCAACAUAAACAGCCAUAAGCCUUUUGGAACAACAAGCACUGUUGAACUAGCAAGAUAUCUCAACACAGAAGACUGAUGGAUAACAAAAUAAAAGCCAUACGGUUUUCAUGGUGUAAUAACAAAAUUGACAAGAACGAUUAUAUAAUGAAAGUAGAUGUAGAGGAAAAUUUAGAUUGUGCGGCUAAUUAGUUUACGCUGACUUGUUUGCAGUUCCCUUUUUCUGCGAUUAGAUAUAAAAAGGAGAAAUAAAUUUUUAUCUAAAAUGUGAAAGAUCCACACGCCUUUCUCUUUGGCUCACCACAUAGAUUAACAACUCAGAGGCCAUAUCUAUUUCUGCUAGGAAACAUCUCAUGUUCCCAAUUGAUUGCUGAUGUGCACUACCUGAAAAUCAAUACUUCUGCAUCAGAUAAAGAUUUCAAGAGAGGGUAGCACAUGGGUCUGUAUCCUACUGCUUCUUGUACCACAAAAUCCUAGUACAUGCUUCAGACAAGGAUUAGAAGGUUGAUUUUAUGUUUGAUUAUCUUAAAAAUUCAAAUAACUGGACACCUAAAUAUUCAAGGGAGAGCUAUCAGACAACUAAGAAAUUUGAUUAUCCUUGGUAUUUGUAGGGCAAGUUGUGUCUUGGUAAGCAGACACAUAUCCCACACUCCUCCAACUUUGCUAUUCAUUAUGUAUUUGUAGGACAUCAUCAUGUGCUAGUGACUUAUUAUUUCAUUUUCAGUGUUCAAGAAACCUUCUAUAUAAACAUAGGGACUUUGACAUAAAUCAACACAAGCAAACUAGCAAACCUUCAUUUCUUUCAUCAAGCAUCGUCUCAUCCUUUCCCUCUCGACAUCCAUUUUAAGAAUACCAACUUAGAAACAUGGGUAUCCGCAUGCCUCGUAUUCCUCAUGUCAAGAAAAUUUUGCAGGGGUCUUCUUUUGCAACUACAGCAGUUUCAGACGUCCCAAAGGGCUGCUUGGCAGUUUAUGUUGGGGAGAGCCAAAGAAAAAGAUUUGUUGUUCCAAUUUCGUACUUGGCUGAGCCUGCCUUCCAGGACUUGCUAUGUCAAGCUGAGGAAGAAUUUGGUUUUGAUCAUCCAGAGGGGGGUCUUACAAUUCCCUGCAGAGAAGAUGUGUUUACAGAUCUCGCCUCAAGCUUGAGAAGAAAAUCAUAGAGAAGAACCUGAUCAAAAUAAGUAGUUUAGAAAUUUUUUGUAAGCUAGUAGGAGAUAAGUUAGAAAAGGUAGGACCAUAGGCAUUUAGGCAAAAACUUUCUUCCAGUGUCUCAAGGAAUCAUUUUCAAUGAGGAAGAUCAUUACUCAAAAUUUUGUAAAUUAUUAAACUAUAUACAUCCCAAUUAUAUUUUUAUGAUCUAAUUAUGUUGUUUGCAAAUAAAUUCCCAUCUGUUAUCAGUUCCACAUUAUUCUGAAAUUAAUCGAAAUUGGCAUAUAUUAUUCUGAGAUAAAUUUCUUGAAAAUUGAUAUGGGAGUGGGAGAAAGCAGUCCCUUAUCUUAUAUUCCUAUAUUACAGAAAGAAUUAGUCAGAACCUAUCUACAGUUACUCUGUGAUCAUAUUUACUGUUAGACCGAAAUUGAUCAAGCAUCGACCUGCGGAAGAUACUUAUCAGUAACUUUGAUAGUCAAAUCAGUAACUUUUGCAUGUAAUGUAAAUCUCCUUGUCAAAGAUUAAAACUGUGAACGUCAAGUCUGGUCAGAGUUGGAAAGUUAAACUUAUCUACCCAGAACCUAUAGAUGAUGUUAUUGAUAAAAACAGCAAACUUCAGAUGCAAUGAUUGAUGAAAAAAAAAUGGAAUGCAACGUCAAGAUUAUCAGUGGCUUACAUGAAGACUACAAAAAAACCUGCACAACUGAAAUUGGAGGGUUUAGGAUGUCAACUGUUAGAGUGAAAUUAAAUAAAGAUGUUCUUCACAUCCAUCCAAAGAGACCUUGGUAAUUCCAGGAUAUCAAUAUGAAUGAAUAAAUGGAUUCUUCACUGAUGAUUUCUAAAAAACAUAUUUCUGCGAAACUAGAAAUUAAGGCCUGCAGUCUAGCACAAAAGCCUGAGGCAAAGUUUAAACGUGAAAUACAUUAAAAGCCCCUACAAGGCACGUGCUUUUAAUUUAAAUCAUAUCUCUAAUUAAUUGCUCACUAUAUAUGUAGAAUUUGAAUUUAAUGUAUUUAGUUUUGUUUUUAAAUCUUAAAAUAAAACUUUUUGAACCUCCGCAUAGAAAAAAAGACCCGAAUAACACAAUUUUGGAGUUUAAUACCCUGAAUAACAAAUUUUAUAAAAAUGGCCUCAUCUGACAAGUAAAGCCGCUUGGCUAUUAGCGUUUAAUGUAAAGGGGCAACGCUAAUGCUUUUAGCGUUUUUGAAGUACGCCCCAGGGUCUAGUCUUUCUUUUUACUGGCACAAACACACACAACACACUGGUGCUCUCCUUGAAAUAAAUUAAUAUAUAUAUAUAUAUAUAUAUAUAUAUAUAUAUUUUGACCUUUUAACAUGUUUUUUCGAAAAAUAUAAAAAAUAUUGGUUCAAUUUAAUAAAGUAAAUCAACAAUCGUUAACAUUUAGGUUUUAAGUUUGGGUUGUAAAAUGAUUAAUUCAUACUUUAAAUUAAAUUGGCCGACGGUUAGGGUUUAGGAUUGAGGGUUUAGGGCCGUUAGGCCCUAAUCCCUCGAGCCUAAACCCUAAUUAAUGCGAGGCUUUAGGGCCGAGGCCCUAAAGCCGAGAAACCGGCUGAAUAAAUUAAUUUACAAUCGUUAACAUUUAGGGUUUAGGUUUGGGUAGCAGAAUGAUUAAUUCGUACUGUAUAUUAAAUUGGCCGACGGUUAGGGUUUAGGAUUGAGGGUUUAGGGCCGUUAGGCCCUAAUCCCUCGAGCCUAAACCCUAAUUAAUGCGAGGCUUUAGGGCCGAGGCCCUAAAGCCGAGAAACCGGCUGAAUAAAUUAAUUUACAAUCGUUAACAUUUAGGGUUUAGGUUUGGGUUGCAGAAUGAUUAAUUCGUACUAUAUAUUAAAUUGGCCGACGGUUAGGGUUUAGGAUUGAGGGUGUAGGGCCGGUAGGCCCUACUCCCUCGAGCCUAAACAUUAAUUAAUGCGAGGUUGCAGGGCCGAAGGCUCUAAAGCCGAGAAUCCGGCGGAAUAAAUUAAAUUAACAGUCGUUAAUUAACAUUUACGGUUUAUAUUUGGGUUUUAAAAGAAUUAAUUUUUGCAUGGCAUUAAAUUAUUAAAAUAAAUUAAUUGUUGUUAACAUUUUAGGGUGGAUGAUUAAUACUUGAAAAUUAAAAACAAAACAAAAUAAUAAAUAAAUAAAAAAAUAAUUAUAAGAUUAUUGUUAUAAUAUAAAAAAGAUUAUAAGAUUAUUGUUAAAUGAAAUUUAAAAAAGGUGUAGUUAUAAUUGUAAGAAUAGCUGGUUAGCAACUAGCGUUUUGACAACUCUUAAUAUGCCGUAAAGCGCUAUUCUCAAAAGCGUUUUAGUGAAUUUCGAAAACUAGUAAACGCCAAACAGUGUGUCGUUUGUCUUGGUUUGAAUGAAAAAAAAAAUAUACCAAUGCUACACUAAUUAAGUAGCAUUUUAGUGAGCACUAUUGGAUAGCCCAAGUAGUUGAGGGCUUAUCCUCUAUUGGCCCAGGUACUGGGUUUGACUCUGGCUCACCUCGAGAAUAUCUGAGAACAGAUACUCACAUUGUAAGGCUAUAAACCAUAUUAGUCAAAAAAAAAAAGUAGCAUUUUAGUUGAUUAAAAAACCAAAACGCUACAUACUAAACCAACAAUUUGGGGCCGAAACCCGUAUGCAUAUUCUAAUUAUUUAAUACUCAAUUUAUUGUUAGCAAUUCAAUAUUACCAAGAUAUAUUAAUUAAGAUUAUCCUCAAUAACAUCUGUUUAUUAAAACUCCUAAAGCAUUUGUAAUAUACUAAACCAACAAAACAGACGUCUGGCAAAUGUUGAUAGUAUAUUCAUCAGCGUGCUCAAAACAUGUAAAAGUUUACAUGAAAGUCUCAGUCAGAAUACAACUUCUAGACUAGUUUAGAAAUUUUGUACACUAACAACAUAUAACUUUUUACAUAUCUGCAGACAUGUAGAAACUUUCAUAAUCUGUUCAAGAAAUAAAUGAAAGUGUCUUCUUUUUGCAUGGAACUGUGAGGCCGCCUUCUGGAUGACUAAACCCAAAUUCUUCCUCAGCUUGACUUAACAGGUCUUGAAAUGUAGGCUCAUUUAAGUACGAGAUGGGAACCACAAAUCUUCUUCUUUGGUUCUCACCAACAUAAACUGCCAUGCAUCCCUUAGGGACAUUUGUACUAAAAUCAAGAUUUGUAGAGGAAAAUUGCCAUUUGAGAAUUUGCUUGAGAUUAGUGACACGAGGCAUGCGGAUACCCAUGAUGCUAAUCAAAAAUUAAAGUUUUCAGGUAAACUUUGGGGAUAUGAAACUACAAGGACUUCUGCAGAUUGAAGCUUCGACACCAGAAUACACUCAAUUCUGAAAUGACUUUGCUUGAGUUUCCAGCAGGGUUUAUAUAGAAUAUUGAGCUGUUAAUCAAAUUGCAGAUUGAGUGACACAGAUGCAUUAGACAUUAGCACAUGCUAUUUUCUUUGAAUAUCCUAAGGGUAGGACUUGUAUGUCUGUGAGUGACAUCUUGUCCUAUUACUUGUGUUGAACAAUUCCCUAACCUGGUUUUUGCUUUAAAAUUAUAGUUGAGAUAAGAGAGUUUAUAGUGGAGACUGUCAAGUUCGUCAGGCGAGGGAUUAAAUCUCAAGCUUUUAUUGGACAGGCAAGUUUGGUGCUCAUGUGAUGGUGUUUUCUUGACCUAUCCCAGCUGCUUCUUCCAAACAGAUUAUCAGAUAUCUUUGACAUGGUCUAGCUGCAUUAUGUGAAAAUAUCAACUUGGAGCUGGAAGAAACACUGUCACAUGAACACUUAUUAUUCCAACCCCACCAUAAUCAGUGAAGACAAACCCGAAACAUAAAAUCCAUAUCAUGCCACCCAGAUAAACCUUUGGAGGAGUCUUUAGCCAUAGACUAGUGAUUUUGUGUGCUCCAUGUUAAAUCUGCGGUGCAUUUAUGCCCUUUCUUUUAAUUUGUAUAUUACUUAUACACAUAUAACUGUAGGACAUCAAAUUUUCUUCAACAAACGUAUUACAGGCCAAAAUUACAUAUUGAGUCGUGAUUUAUUAUACAGACGUAGUAGGACACUCUGUCUCCCAACACAUAUAGAUGUCCACCUAUCAGUCAUUAAUACGUGUGGCUACUGAAGAAAAAAUCAUGUGCUAGUGUCUAAUGCCUACUCACCGCUCAAUGUACCAUUUGAUGAGAUCGAUGUUCUACACAACUUUCUGAUUGUUCUAUAUAAACACAUAAUUAAGCGAUACUAACAUUCAUCACAAACUCACUGGUCUAAAGUCUUUUCCUCAAAACUAUACAAGUCUAGUGUUUCUUCAGUUUCCUGAACUCUUCCCUGGAAGAUCUAAAGUGUCAUGGGUAUCCGUAUGCCUCGUAUUACUAGUUUCAAACAAAUCCUUAACCGCUCAUCUUUGUUAUUAAAUCCUGAUCUUACUUCAAUGAUUCCAAAGGGGUGCUUGGCAGUUUAUAUUGGGGAGAGGCAAAGAAGCCGAUUUGUGGUUCCCAUUUCGUACCUGAAUGAGCCUGCCUUUCAAGAAUAGUUAAGUCAAGCCGAGGAAGAAUUUGGAUUCAAUCAUCCGGAAGGAGGUCUUACAAUUCCUUGCUCAGAGGACACAUUCAAUGAAAUCACUUCGCGCCUGAACAAUUUAUAUACUUGUAGAUAGUAUAGCACCUCCGAUCUCAUUUGAUGAGUUUCUGAGUGUAAAUUGCAGAACAUAUAGGAUUUAUAUAUAAUUUUUUGUAGGUAAAGCUUAAUUUGAUACUCGAUUUUUUUGAACAUAUUGACCAUCACAUAUAGUCAUAGAUACUUUUAUUUCUCUAAAGCAUAAUACUAAUUUGAUAAACUUUAUGCCUAAAACAAAUCACUGACACAUAAGGCCGCCAUUUUUAGCAAUUCCAAAUGGCUGCUUAUAUUGGGAACAUCCCAAACAAAGGAAAUUUGUAUUUACUGUUUCAUACCUUAAUUUUGCAAUUGUCUUGAUAAAUCAGCCUUGACAGAAGGGUGAUUUUUGCUAACUCUUAAUUAAAAUUUAUAUUUAUAAGCAGUUCUGACUAAUUUAUAAAUAUAUCUCAGGCAUAGUUUAACCUAUUUAAGUCAUUUAUUAUCACGAAUACUCCUUCUGCUCCUCAGCCUACAGUGGUUAUUAGUUAGCACUUUGUGUAUCAAUGUGUGCAAUGUUGUAGCUAACGCGUUAACUAUCGGGUCUGGGUAGUGCUUUCGCAAGAAUGAAACCUUUUGUUGUUGACCUACCCAAUCGAAAUCAUCAUAAGACUCGUGAUGAUCAACCUUCCGAAUAAGUUCCCAUCGUAUUCAGGCUUUUCAACAAAUUAAGUUAAAAUUUUGUAAUUUUCCUGCAAAGCCUUCUAAGAUCUAAUACAAAUUAAAAUAAAUACUGUACAUAAAAUUUUAUAAGAACUUGACAGAAACUACCCUAACAAUUUCACAUUCUGCCUCUCAAAUCAGAAAAUUUAAAUUUUAAGGUGUUUUUUGUUAACAGAUUAAGAUUUAUAUAAGUCUAAACAAAUCAAUGUGUGUUUUAAAAAAUAAAAAGACUUUUGUGCAUUCCCUCUAGCCGCCUCCUCCAUCUUUUCAUUCCCGACGGGGCUUCCAUCGGUUUUCCGGUGGAAAGCCCCAAAUCUUUCCGUUUGAUUGCUAGUUCUUUGAUUGUUUUUGCUUUUCAUUGAUUUUCUUAAUAAAUCUCCUUCUUUAAGGGGGAAAAUUUCUUAGAUCUAUAUCACCGAACUUUUGAUUUUCGUUCUUAUUCGCUUCCAGAAGGCUUUUUGGAUUUGUGGGUGGAUCGAUUAUCUCUACGUGUCGUGGUGCAGAUCUAAUUGCUUUAGUUUUUAGUUGGAUUUUCUCUAGUUUGUUUGGAUUAUAGUUUGAUUUCUCUCCCUGGUGAGAGUGUGUGAUUUUUCUCUCCUCUUUUGUGAGAGUUGGUUUGGAUUCAUCGAUAAAAGCCUUCGAGAAGUGCAUUUGUGGUUGAUAGCUCAAACGGAGUUUUUGAAAAAGAUAAUGAACACAGAGCAAGGAUCUAUACAUGUACCAUCGUCAAUUUCAACAUCGCUUAUUUGUCUCAUCUUGACUAUGAAGACAGGCAUGUUAAUAUUUUCUAUGUUUGUUCGACUCGAUCAUUCUUGUAGAUGCCGUAUGGCUAUUAUUUAAUGAAUUAUUUCCUUUUCUUCAAAAAAAAAAAAAAGAUUUAUAUAAGUCUCAGUCUUAUAUAAAAUGUCUGGACUAGUUCAAAAAAUUUGUAAAGUAUCUAAGAACAUAUCACUAUGUAUGUAUCUGUACACAUAUAUAUAAACUCUCAUAAUCUGUUCAAGAGAUCAAUGAAGGUGUCUUCUUUGCAUGGUAUUGUGAGGCCGCCUUCUGGAUGACUAAACCCAAAUUCUUCCUCAGCUUGACUUAACAGGUCUUGAAACGUAGGCUCAUCUAAGUAUGAGAUCGGAACCACAAAUCUUCUUCUCUGGUUCUCCCCAACAUAAACUGCCAUGCAUCCCUUAGGGACAUUUGUACUACGAUCAAGAUAUGUGGAGGAGGAUUGGCGGUUUAGAAUAUGCUUGAGACUAGUGAUACGAGGAACACGGAUACCCAUGAUGCUAACAAAAAAUUUGUAGUAUUCAGGAUAAACUCUGCUGAUAUUGAAAUACAAGGACUUUUGCAGAUGGAAGGCUUAGACACUUGAAUACAAUUGAUUAUGUGAUGAAUUUGGUUGAGUUUGUGAUAGCGGUUUUAUAGAGCUCGGAAGUAUUGAACAGUUGAUUGAAAUGCAGAUUGAGUGGCACAGAUGCAUUAGGCAUUAGCACAUGCUAUUCUCUUUCAAUGGCCACAUAUGUUUAAGACUAAUGGUAAGACUUAAAUGUCUGUUAAGAGACAUCAUGUCCUACUACUUUUGCUCAACUAAUCUGAACCUGAUAUCUUCUUAUUCAACCAUAUGUUUGAUGCUUAUAGCAUAGCUAAGAGAGUAUAUAAGCCUAAAAUACACUUAUAUGAACGCCAUACAAAUAAUUUGGGUGGAAACUCUUGAGUUUUAGGUGGGACAGACAAGUUAGGUGCCCAUGUGAUGGUGUUCUCUUCCCCUGUGUUAGCUGUUUAUUUUGUUGAUUUGAUGAAUCAUUUAGUAGAAAACAGUGGCUGCUGGGGCUUAAUCAAGCAGACGCAGUAAGGUUGAUGUCUCGCAACACACAGAAAUCAAAUAUUCUUGGUCUUAUAUACUUGUGCUAGUGUCUACUGCUUCUUCACCACUCGGAUAAUAUUUCUAAUAAAUUGUUUAAGUAGUUCUAUGUUCUAUAUAUACUUAUAUUUAAGCAUUAGUAGAAUUCAUCACAAACUCAAUUGCUUCAAGCUUUAAACUUACAUUUCCUUGUGUUUCUGUUGUUUUCCUCAACUCUUCAGUAAAAGAUCCUUGAUAAGUAGGGGCAUGCUGUCUUGCAACAGACAGAGAAGUCAUUCAAUCAGUCAUAAAUAUAUGUAGCUAUUGAAAGAGAAAAUCAUGUGCUAGUGUCUAAUGCCUCUUCACCACUCAAGUUACAUUUUAAAGAACUGUUCAAUUUUCUAUAUAAAUACAUAGCUGGGCAUUAGUAAAAUUCAUCUCAAACUCAACUGUCUAAAGUCUUCACUAUACAAUUCCUUUUCUUUCUCCAUAUUCUCUAAUUGAUCUAAUAGUAUUAUGGGUAUUCGUAUGCCUCGUGUUACCAAUCUCAAGAAUAUCCUAAACCCGUCUUCUUUCUUGAUAAGUCCUGAUUAUACUUCAACAGUUCCGAAGGGUUGCUUGGCAGUAUAUAUUGGGGAGAAGCAAAGAAGACGAUUUGUGGUCCCCGUUUCAUACCUGAAUAAUCCUGCCUUCCAGGACUUGUUAAAUCAAGCUGAGGAAGAAUUUGGGUUCAGCCAACCAGAAGGCGGCCUCACUAUUCCCUGCUCAGUGGAAACAUUCAUCCACCUUACUUCGAGCCUAGAUAGAAUAUAGUCAGAAAACAUUUAUGUACAGGUAGAUAGUACAGCAUUAAAAUGUAAUUAGUAGAAAGGAGAAUUUUAUAGAUUUUGUUGGCAACGGAUAAUUUGAAACUCACCAUUUUGUUGAAUUUAACAUUACCAAAAUUUAUUGAUCAUAGUUUCUACUUAUAAAUUUAGAUAUAAAAAGAGACCAUGCAACUAUUAAACUGAUGGAGAGAAAUUAUUACACAGCACACGGAUUUCCUUUAUGAAUCUUAAGUAUCCAAGAAGAUAUAAAAAGGCCAGAAUCUGAAAAACUAACUCCAUCUGACUUCGCAUAGAAAAGAAGAUGUUACAUGUGGAAACUCCCAUAUCUUC